rnacentral:lncRNA from 1 species
AGAAAAUGGAGGCCAAGCUGCAUGUUGGGAGAGGAGCUGCCUUCACAAGGUCACAGCCCAGGGACUCAAACACAGGUACUUUGAUUAGAUGGCAGCUGCAGGGUGAAUGGCUCAUUCAAGCAUGACAAGACGCCAGCGAGUAUCUAGAGAAGCAGCAGAAUUAAAAGCACCCUUUGCGUCUGGAAGACACUACCUCUUACUUCUCAUAAUGCCGAAUUGAACUCUGUGGCUCAUAAAUAUUCAUAAAUCUGAGAAAAGUGUCUUAGAGAAAUGAACAAACAGCACAGAAAUCCUUGAUGGGAGGCUUAACUAAUGCUUCAGAAUUAGAAAUUUACUUUUACAGAAGUGAAAUAUUUGUCUUGUUUGGGACUUUUGAGGAUUACAAAGCUUAUAGACCUGUUUAUUUUUAGACACAGAAUGCACAGAAUAUUAAAGCUUCAGUGAUUAAACAUGAUCCAACAACAUAUAAUGCUUGUAAGAUGUAAAGCUAGAAGAUUUGAUUUU